UACGUAGGGGGCAAGCGUUAUCCGGAUUUACUGGGUGUAAAGGGAGCGUAGACGGCAGCGCAAGUCUGGAGUGAAAUGCCGGGGCUCAACCCCGGAACUGCUUUGGAAACUGUGCAGCUAGAGUGCGGGAGAGGUAAGCGGAAUUCCUAGUGUAGCGGUGAAAUGCGUAGAUAUUAGGAGGAACACCAGUGGCGAAGGCGGCUUACUGGACCGUAACUGACGUUGAGGCUCGAAAGCGUGGGGAGCUAACAGG
rnacentral:rRNA from 1 species